rnacentral:lncRNA from 1 species
AAUGAGCUUGUGAUACAGGAUAUUGUUGCAGGAUCUUUUGGAAAAUAACUGAGAUGCCACAUAACAUGUGGAUUACUAUCAUUAAUACCAUCCAAAUGAAAGGCAUGAAUGCUAACAACUCACAAUAGAUUCUACAGUUGCUUACCCAAAGGUAAGCAACUAUUUCAAAGAGAAAAAAAACAUUGUAUCCGACAAAGAUAUCCACCCUCUUCUGCACCCUCGGAGGGUUAGUCUCCGAUGAGGCUCCCGCCAUUGCUAGAGUUCAAGAUCCACAAAGAGAGAGAGAGAGAGAGAGAGAGAGAUUGGAGGAUUCGGGGGCGAAUGAGGGGUUUAAUAGAGACAUCAAAAAAAAUUACAAAAAAAGGAUCUUGCAACAUCACAUCACAGAAUAUCAGCAACCACUGAGACUUAAUCAACAGCAAAAUAACAAUCCAACAACAAAUGAUAAAAUCCAACCUAUGCAUCACAACAAAUGAUAAAACCCAUUUCCUCAUUACAUGUCAUGAUGAUUCUCUCACCCUCAUUGAGCUGCCAUAUGUCCCUAGCUCGUGUCGGUCCCCAUCUCGCCUUCACUCAACCCUGAUUGUCUACAAAAAAAUAUAAAAAUAAAAGUUAAUCAAAAUUAUUAAAUAUGCAUCACAUGAAAAAAAUUUGAAAUAAAAUAUUAAAAUGAAAUAAGUACAGGAUUUGUUCAUUUAAUUUACCCUGAAUCUGCAAGUCACCUAUAACAGGCUCAUCAUCUUGGUCAUCAGUAGGAGACUCAUGCUGCAGCGCAUCAUGCUGCUGAGACUACUGAGGGCCAUCAAACUGACUAGAAGAUCUGGCCUGGGAAUGCUGAAACUCUACACCUCUGAAACGUCUAUGAGGCAUAACGUAUCUAACCUGCACAUAUUGAUUACAAUAUGAAUUAAUACAAAUUAUAGUAAAGGCAUGCAUUUAAUAGCAUACUUACAGUAAGGAAUGCAUACAUGAAUGCCAUCAUAGAACAGAAAUACAAUUUGGAACCAAACAUGCCAUUAACUAAUGCAAAGGAAC